rfam:Pantoea sp. At-9b plasmid pPAT9B02, complete sequence.
CAUGAUGUUCCGUCAUGAGUAUCCUACCGGCACAUGCAGGAGCGGUAACGCACCAGUUCGAAGCUGCCGGGACAACAUAGCCGGGCCUGAGAACCUGUCCGACACCGUAAGGUCAGGCAACAUCAGCAAGCAUCAUGCGGAUGCGGUG